CUGGCGGCGUGCCUAAUACAUGCAAGUCGAACGGUCUUUCUAUGGAAGCUUGCUUCCACUGAGAAGAUAGUGGCGAACGGGUGAGUAACACGUGGGUAACCUGCCCAUAAGAGGGGGGAUAACAUCCGGAAACGGGUGCUAAUACCGCAUAGUUUUCUUGAUCGCAUGAUCGGGAAAGGAAAGACGGCCUUUGUGCUGUCGCUUAUGGAUGGACCCGCGGCGUAUUAGUUAGUUGGUGAGGUAACGGCUCACCAAGACGAUGAUACGUAGCCGACCUGAGAGGGUGAUCGGCCACAUUGGGACUGAGACACGGCCCAAACUCCUACGGGAGGCAGCAGUAGGGAAUCUUCCGCAAUGGACGAAAGUCUGACGGAGCAACGCCGCGUGAGUGAAGAAAGGUUUUCGGAUCGUAAAACUCUGUUGUCAGAGAAGAACAAGUUGGAGAGUAACUGCUCCAGCCUUGACGGUAUCUGACCAGAAAGCCACGGCUAACUACGUGCCAGCCGCCGC
rnacentral:rRNA from 1 species